UACGUAGGGGGCGAGCGUUGUCCGGAUUUAUUGGGCGUAAAGAGCGUGUAGGCGGCUAGGAAGGUCCGCUGUGAAAACUCGGGGCUCAACCCCGAGAGGUCGGUGGAAACCAUCUGGCUAGAGUACGGAAGAGGCGAGUGGAAUUCCUGGUGUAGCGGUGGAAUGCGCAGAUAUCAGGAGGAACACCAAUAGCGAAGGCAGCUCGCUGGGACGUUACUGACACUGAGGCGCGAAAGCGUGGGGAGCGAACAGG
rnacentral:rRNA from 1 species